rnacentral:rRNA from 1 species
UACGUAGGGUCCGAGCGUUGUCCGGAAUUAUUGGGCGUAAAGAGCUCGUAGGCGGUUUGUCGCGUCUGCCGUGAAAGUCCGGGGCUCAACUCCGGAUCUGCGGUGGGUACGGGCAGACUAGAGUGAUGUAGGGGGAGACUGGAAUUCCUGGUGUAGCGGUGGAAUGCGCAGAUAUCAAGUGGAACACCAGUGGCGAAGGCGAAUCCCUGGAAAUACCUGACACUGAGGCACGAAAGCUAGGGGAGCAAACAGG